rnacentral:rRNA from 1 species
GACGAACGCUGGCGGCGUGCUUAACACAUGCAAGUCGAACGAAGUGGCGGACGGGUGAGUAACGCGUAAUCAACCUGCUCAUCAGAGGGGGACAACAGUUGGAAACGACUGCUAAUACCGAAUACUGAAGAAGGGGAAGGGGGCUGAAUAGCUAGUCGGAGGGGAAACGGCCCACCAAGGCGAGGAUCAGUAGCCUGUCUGAGAGGGUGGACGGACACAUUGGGAAUGAGACACGGCCCCAACUCCUACGGGAGGCAGCAGUGGGGAAGUUUCCGCAAUUGACGAAAGUCUGACUGAGCAACGCCGCGUGAGUGAUGACGGCCUUCGGGUUGUAAAGCUCUGUUAAUCGGGACGCGGUACCGGAAUAGAAAGCCACGGCUAACUACGUGCCAGCAGCCGCGGUAAUAC